rnacentral:rRNA from 1 species
AUGCACGCUGGCGGCGUGCCUAAUACAUGCAAGUCGCGCGAACAGACGAGGAGCUUGCUCCUCUGACGUUAGCGGCGGACGGGUGAGUAACACGUGGAUAACCUACCUAUAAGACUGGGAUAACUUCGGGAAACCGGAGCUAAUACCGGAUAAUAUAUUGAACCGCAUGGUUCAAUAGUGAAAGACGGUUUUGCUGUCACUUAUAGAUGGAUCCGCGCCGCAUUAGCUAGUUGGUAAGGUAACGGCUUACCAAGGCAACGAUGCGUAGCCGACCUGAGAGGGGGAUCGGCCACACUGGAACUAGGACACGGUCCAGACUCCUACGGGGGGCAGCAGGGGGGAAUCUUCCGCAAUGGGCGAAAGCCUGACGGGGCAACGCCGCGUGAGUAAUGAAGGUCUUCGGAUCGUAAAACUCUGUUAUGAGGGAAGAACAAAUGUGUAAGUAACUAUGCACGUCUGGACGGUACCUAAGCAGAAAGCCACGGCUAACUACGG